rnacentral:lncRNA from 1 species
GGAUGCAAGUGUUGCAAUCAGACCCAACCAAAGUUUUGCACCAAACAAAGAUAGCAAACUGGUUGUGCACAUAAACCAACUAAUCUUUCAGACUUUCUCUCUGAACCUUUCUCAACUUUUUUUUUCACUUCACUCUUUUUUUGCACUUUCUUUUCUUUCUUUUUUGACACACUUUUUUUUUAUAUAUAUAGAACUAAAAAACAGGGAUCAGAUUAUGAAACUUGCACAACUAAAGAAAUAAAAUAACAACCAGUAUCUAGAUAGGAUCAAAGUUAACACAAAGGAUGAUAUAGGCUAUAGAGAUUUUUUUUGUGGGGAUUUUUAGAUAUAAAAGAGGCACAAAGAACAUGGGAAGGAUAAAUGAUCAGGAACUAAAACAAAGACUCUAAUGGACUACGACUUAACCGAACUCACUAAAAUAACAGAUUGAAACAAAGGUCUAAGCAAUAUAUUUUUCUGGCUUUUUGGUGGAUAGGACGAAGCAAAAUAUAUAUGUAGCUAGGGAUAAAAUUCCUACCGUGGUAACGAAAGCUUUGAUACCAGAUGAUGCGUCACGUUGUCCCGAUCUUCACGACGUAGGAUGAACACCGAUAACUAGCUGAAGAACAGCCGGAUAACUUGCUGCAAGCAGCGAUAACUAGUGCAACCUGGCAAAUAAAACUCGAAGCCAACCACCGUCUUUAACCGGCAACCUGAAUCGAGGAUUCGCCCAACCACACUCUCAAGGAACCAACCAACACAGCCUACAAUCAAUCAAGGAAUACCUUGAAGGGAGUAGGAGC